UCUCCGUAGGUGAACCUGCGGAGGGAUCAUUACUGAGUGAGGGUUUAACCGCCCGACCUCCAACCCUUUUGUGAACCACCUCGUUGCUUCGGGGGUGACCCUGCCGUUCGCGGCGUGGGGCCCCCGGUGGUCCACACCUCAACUCUUGCAUCUGUGCGUCUGAGUAACAUAUUGAAUCAAUCAAAACUUUCAACAACGGAUCUCUUGGUUCUGGCAUCGAUGAAGAACGCAGC
rnacentral:misc_RNA from 1 species